GGCGCCACUUGAUCGGGUGACGGUAACGAGACCACGCCAUAUCGAUUGCGUUAUCGGCCAAUUCAAAUAUAUUUUGUAUAAAUAGGUGUGCGGCAUUUCAGAUCAAGCAUAACACGUUGUUUUGUGCAAAUCUAUACUUUGUAUUUCCUUCGCAAGUUCUCCAAGAACCAACUCAAAAACCAAAAAUGGGCGCAGAAAAGGUAUCAAUGAACAUCGUUGUCGUCGGACAAGUGCAAUCCGCCAAAGCCAUCAAGACUGUCGCCAAGACCAACAGCUCCGCUGUUAACCAAGCCAUGAAAUGGUAAUGAAAUAAUUCCAUGAUGCCAAACUCAAAACUGCUAUAGACCACACAAUGCAUAUUACUUAUACUAUAAUAAUAAUAUGUAUUGAUAUGCUCAAAUAAAUUUUAAAAGAUCCGUUAAAA